rnacentral:rRNA from 1 species
GACGAACGCUGGCGGCGUGCCUAAUACAUGCAAGUAGAACGCACAGUUUAUACCGUAGCUUGCUACACCAUAGACUGUGAGUUGCGAACGGGUGAGUAACGCGUAGGUAACCUGCCUGGUAGCGGGGGAUAACUAUUGGAAACGAUAGCUAAUACCGCAUAAUAUUGAUUAUUGCAUGAUAAUUGAUUGAAAGAUGCUAUUGCAUCACUACCAGAUGGACCUGCGUUGUAUUAGCUAGUAGGUGAGGUAACGGCUCACCUAGGCGACGAUACAUAGCCGACCUGAGAGGGUGAUCGGCCACACUGGGACUGAGACACGGCCCAGACUCCUACGGGAGGCAGCAGUAGGGAAACUUCGGCAAUGGACGAAAGUCUGACCGAGCAACGCCGCGUGAGUGAAGAAGGUUUUCGGAUCGUAAAGCUCUGUUGUAAGAGAAGAACGGGUGUGAGAGUGGAAAGUUCACACUGUGACGGUAUCUUACCAGAAAGGGACGGCUAACUACGUG